UAGAACCCCAUGGAUUAUAAGUCCAAUUAUAUUUUGGACGUCUAUGGCCACCCUGACUUAACCGGUGAAAAGGAGACAGAAAGCAUGGGCAAGUCUCGCGAGGGUGGUGGUAAUGUUAGGUUUAGGAUUUAGGUUAAGGAUGAUUAACACUAUAUACAACAGUGGUUCGCUUCGUCAUUCUUCUCCUUUAAUCAGUCAGAUGCGAUAUGAUACAUGAUACAGUACGGUCAAGAAGUUUUAUCGAGAGUGCCUUGUACGAUGAAAAAAGUCAAUUCUAAUGGAACAUUCCAUUAGAAUUUUUUUAAAUGUCAUAGGCCAUGGCAUGGCCGCUUUGUCAUCAAACUUUUUGAACGUACCUACGCUAAGCUUGAUAUAUUUGAACUUUUAGUCCAUG